UACGAAGGGGGCUAGCGUUGUUCGGAUUUACUGGGCGUAAAGCGCACGUAGGCGGAUCGUUAAGUCGGGGGUGAAAUCCUGGAGCUCAACUCCAGAACUGCCUUCGAUACUGGCGAUCUUGAGUCCGGAAGAGGUGAGUGGAACUCCUAGUGUAGAGGUGAAAUUCGUAGAUAUUGGGAAGAACACCGGUGGCGAAGGCGGCUCACUGGCUCAUUUCUGACGCUCAGGCGCGACAGCGUGGGGAUCAAACAGG
rnacentral:rRNA from 1 species